AUUCUUUCUUAAAGUUGCAUCUUUCUUGUUUGUAUCUUUCAAGUUUUGAAUAUAAUUUUAAAAAUAACUUACAAUGCCAUAUAUUUUAAAUUUGUAUUUAUAUCUUGUCAGGAGUCAAAAUGUUGGUGUAUGAAUAGGGUUGCAUUAGGCCUCCUCCUGUGACCUUACCUGCAACUUGACCUGAGACACUAACAAUCAGAAGGUGGAACUUUCCCUGCCACCCAUCUCUGUACCAGGAAAACACCUGGUGAUAAUAAAAUGAAAGAUGACUUUCUUAUUGGAGAAUGCUGUCUAUGAAAGCCUACUACAUCUAGAGGCAGAAUCUCUUCUCUGGUAACGGCUACCUUGAGCUAGACCAUUUGCUUCCUCUAGCUCAGUAUUGUCUGCACUGACCUGCAGCGUAUCUUCUGGGUGUCAGAGAGGAAUCAAUUUCCAGCCCUGCCUGGAGAAGAUGGCAACUGAACCUUCGACAUGCACAGCUAAGGCUCUUCUCGCCCACCUGUCAUCAAAUGAGUCACUAAAAUAUACAGGCAGUACAAUUUUCCCGCUCACAUAAGUCAGUGUGGGAGAGGAUUAGUGGAGUGUUUAUUUGACUUCAGGCGGCUGCCUGCUACUCCUGUGCUACUCUCUCCUGAGCCUUGAUCCUCUAAAUGACCCAAUAUUCCUAAAAACCAGAACUCACAGUACAUUCCACAAUAUACCCAAGAUUCUCCAAAUAAAUUACAAUGGGGAACAUGGAAACCAAGUAUUUGAUGACUGGCACCAACAUCACCCAACACUAGCAUAUGGAGGAAAAAAAUUACUGUUGUGAUAAUGUCAUUGUAAUAAAUCUACACAGUGCUUUUGGGGGGGGGGAGUAUGCAUUAGUACAGAGUACUAUACCGAUACCUCUCUUUUUUCUGCCCAUGGCAGUAAUUUUGUGCUUGCAGCCACAGUACUUUCAUCAAGACAUGAGUAUCAGCGCCUCAUUUCUUACCAAGAAAGAAAGAAAAAGCCCUUGAUGUAUAUCAGAUAAUUUAAAGUUGAGUUAUACAGAACGCACAUGCAGGCCUUAGAGUGAGAUGAAAAUUGUUUUUAAAAUUGUGGAGCUUCUCAUGACAACAUGUUCCUUUGUAAUAAAAUAUAUCCAAGGAUAAUGGUAAUGGGUGUGAUUCAUACAGCCUACACAGUACAAAUAAAGCCUGUUUUGCCACCCCCACCCCAAUGGCUCUAAGGAGCUGGCAGAGAUAGCAAAAUCUAUAGUCAGGCUUCCACAGGCAUAGGCAUGCCUGUAAUCUGCAGGCACCAAGGCCUAGACGUCUCUAAGAAGACCUAGCGAAAUCCAGCUCAAUGGGGAACUGUUCCAGAUCUAG